ACCCCUAACCUCAAAAUCCCCAAUUUUAAUAAUUUGUAAAAUAUUAAAUCCUGCGGUUGCGAUCUUGUCCGAGACUACUUCGACUGGCGAGUGGCGACGGACGGCAACAGGCGACGGGCGACGGGAGACGGGCGGCGGGAGACGGGCGGCGACCGGCAGUGAGUCGAGUUAAAUUUCAGCACCGUCUCGAGAAAAAAGCUUAAUAUGGGAGCCUCCAGUGGUCAAAGGCUCUCUGGGAUGCAGAAACAAGUGCUUUCUCUGUAUAGGGGAUUCUUGCGAGAAGCCCGCGCUAAACCCCCCAUUGAGAGAAGGAAAAUGGAGUCUCUCGUGUCAGCUGAGUUCCGCCACAAUGCCAAGCAAGUUGAUCGUAAGAAUUUCAUGUACAUCGAGUACUUACUUCGACGUGGUAAGAAGCAACUUGAUCAGCUCAAAAGCCCGGAUAUUGAUGGGUUGUCAUCUUUAAGUGUUGAUUCUUCUCAAACUAAAAGAUUGUAAGCCAGAAAUCACUAUAUCAUUAUUCUUUCCCACAUUCUAAUAAUUAACACAUUUGUCAUUGUUACAACUACAAAUGUGUUACCCAUUGUUACUUUGAGCUUGCAUAUUUAUGUAACAUAAGCAAAGGUCUCCUGUGCUUUAUGGAAUGAGAAGGAUGCUAAUAACACAAGGGCCAGGUUUUGAAACCAAGAAAUAUUUGAGAGUUCAUUGAAAUGAUAUGUUGUUUCUCUCUC